AUUGAACGCUGGCGGCAUGCCUUACACAUGCAAGUCGAACGGUAACAGGUCUUCGGAUGCUGACGAGUGGCGAACGGGUGAGUAAUACAUCGGAACGUGCCCGAUCGUGGGGGAUAACGAAGCGAAAGCUUUGCUAAUACCGCAUAAGAUCUACGGAUGAAAGCAGGGGACCGCAAGGCCUUGCGCGAACGGAGCGGCCGAUGGCAGAUUAGGUAGUUGGUGGGAUAAAAGCUUACCAAGCCGACGAUCUGUAGCUGGUCUGAGAGGACGACCAGCCACACUGGGACUGAGACACGGCCCAGACUCCUACGGGAGGCAGCAGUGGGGAAUUUUGGACAAUGGGCGAAAGCCUGAUCCAGCCAUGCCGCGUGCAGGAUGAAGGCCUUCGGGUUGUAAACUGCUUUUGUACGGAACGAAAAGACUCUGGUUAAUACCUGGGGUCCAUGACGGUACCGCAAGAAUAAGCACCGGCUAACUACGUG
rnacentral:rRNA from 1 species